UACGUAGGGUGCAAGCGUUAAUCGGAAUUACUGGGCGUAAAGCGUGCGCAGGCGGUUGUGCAAGACCGAUGUGAAAUCCCCGGGCUUAACCUGGGAAUGGCAUUGGUGACUGCACGGCUAGAGUGUGUCAGAGGGGGGUAGAAUUCCACGUGUAGCAGUGAAAUGCGUAGAGAUGUGGAGGAAUACCGAUGGCGAAGGCAGCCCCCUGGGAUAACACUGACGCUCAUGCACGAAAGCGUGGGGAGCAAACAGGGUUAGAAACCCUAGUAGUCC
rnacentral:rRNA from 1 species